UAGGGAAUCUUCGGCAAUGGGGGGAACCCUGACCGAGCAACGCCGCGUGAGUGAAGAAGGUUUUCGGAUCGUAAAGCCCUGUUGUUAAGGAAGAACGAGUGUGAGAAUGGAAAGUUCAUGCUGUGACGGUACUUAACCAGAAAGGGACGGCUAACUACGUGCCAGCAGCCGCGGUAAUACGUAGGUCCCGAGCGUUGUCCGGAUUUAUUGGGCGUAAAGCGAGCGCAGGCGGUUAGAUAAGUCUGAAGUUAAAGGCAGUGGCUCAACCAUUGUAGGCUUUGGAAACUGUUUAACUUGAGUGCAGGAGGGGAGAGUGGAAUUCCAUGUGUAGCGGUGAAAUGCGUAGAUAUAUGGAGGAACACCAGUGGCGAAGGCGACUCUCUGGUAUAUAACUGACGCUGAGGCUCGAAAGCGUGGGUAGCAAGCAGG
rnacentral:rRNA from 1 species